rnacentral:misc_RNA from 1 species
GGAAGUAAAAGUCGUAACACGGUUCCCGUAGGUGAACCUGCGGAAGGAUCAUUCAUAAUAAGUGUUUUAUGGCACUCUUUUAAAUCCAUAUCCACCUUGUGUGCAAUGUCAGGGUUGAUUUUUCUCUCGAGAGGAUCAACCCCAAACAUCAACUAUAUCUCAACUCUUUGUCUGAAAAAUAUUAUGAAUAAAACAAUUCAAAAUACAACUUUCAACAACGGAUCUCUUGGCUCUC